CAGCCGCCACGGUAAUACGGAGGGUGCAAGCGUUAUCCGGAUUUAUUGGGUUUAAAGGGUCCGUAGGCGGAUCUGUAAGUCAGUGGUGAAAUCUCACAGCUUAACUGUGAAACUGCCAUUGAUACUGCAGGUCUUGAGUAAAUUUGAAGUGGCUGGAAUAAGUAGUGUAGCGGUGAAAUGCAUAGAUAUUACUUAGAACACCAAUUGCGAAGGCAGGUCACUAAGAUUUAACUGACGCUGAUGGACGAAAGCGUGGGGAGCGAACAGGAUUAGAUACCCCGUAGUCCCUGUCUCUUAUACA
rnacentral:rRNA from 1 species